rnacentral:lncRNA from 1 species
AUUUAUUCUCUAUUUAUAAAACAAAAAUGGACUUUUAACAGUAAUCAUUUUCAUUCCUUAUAAAAUUGAAAUAAAUCUAUAAAGUCAAUGCUUGGCAGUUGUGGUUUAUAUUUGAUUUUAUGUCACUUUGUGUAAAUAAAUAUAUAUAUAUAUUAAGAAGAUGUGGUAUGAGUGCCAAUGAGAAAUAAGAAGAUGUGGUAUGAGUGCCAAUGAGAAAACUCUUUAUUCAAGUCAUAAUUUGUAAAACUUAUGAACCACACCAAC